rnacentral:rRNA from 1 species
GACGAACGCUGGCGGCGUGCUUAACACAUGCAAGUCGAACGGAAAGGCCCUGCUUUUGUGGGGUGCUCGAGUGGCGAACGGGUGAGUAACACGUGAGUAACCUGCCCUUGACUUUGGGAUAACUUCAGGAAACUGGGGCUAAUACCGGAUAGGAGCUCCUGCUGCAUGGUGGGGGUUGGAAAGUUUCGGCGGUUGGGGAUGGACUCGCGGCUUAUCAGCUUGUUGGUGGGGUAGUGGCUUACCAAGGCUUUGACGGGUAGCCGGCCUGAGAGGGUGACCGGCCACAUUGGGACUGAGAUACGGCCCAGACUCCUACGGGAGGCAGCAGUGGGGAAUAUUGCACAAUGGGCGGAAGCCUGAUGCAGCAACGCCGCGUGCGGGAUGACGGCCUUCGGGUUGUAAACCGCUUUCGCCUGUGACGAAGCGUGAGUGACGGUAAUGGGUAAAGAAGCACCGGCUAACUACGUGCCAGCAGCCGCGGUGAUACGUAGGGUGCGAGCGUUGUCCGGAUUUAUUGGGCGUAAAGGGCUCGUAGGUGGUUGAUCGCGUCGGAAGUGUAAUCUUGGGGCUUAACCCUGAGCGUGCUUUCGAUACGGGUUGACUUGAGGAAGGUAGGGGAGAAUGGAAUUCCUGGUGGAGCGGUGGAAUGCGCAGAUAUCAGGAGGAACACCAGUGGCGAAGGCGGUUCUCUGGGCCUUUCCUGACGCUGAGGAGCGAAAGCGUGGGGAGCGAACAGGCUUAGAUACCCUGGUAGUCCACGCUGUAAACGGUGGGUACUAGGUGUGGGGUCCAUUCCACGGGUUCCGUGCCGUAGCUAACGCUUUAAGUACCCCGCCUGGGGAGUACGGCCGCAAAGCUAAAACUCAAAGGAAUUGACGGGGCCCCGCACAAGCGGCGGAGCAUGCGGAUUAAUUCGAUGCAACGCGUAGAACCUUACCUGGGUUUGACAUGGAUCGGGAGUGCUCAGAGAUGGGUGUGCCUCUUUUGGGGUCGGUUCACAGGUGGUGCAUGGCUGUCGUCAGCUCGUGUCGUGAGAUGUUGGGUUAAGUCCCGCAACGAGCGCAACCCUUGUUCACUGUUGCCAGCACGUUAUGGUGGGGACUCAGUGGAGACCGCCGGGGUCAACUCGGAGGAAGGUGGGGAUGACGUCAAGUCAUCAUGCCCCUUAUGUCCAGGGCUUCACGCAUGCUACAAUGGCUGGUACAGAGAGUGGCGAGCCUGUGAGGGUGAGCGAAUCUCGGAAAGCCGGUCACAGUUCGGAUUGGGGUCUGCAACUCGACCUCAUGAAGUCGGAGUCGCUAGUAAUCGCAGAUCAGCAACGCUGCGGUGAAUACGUUCCCGGG